GCCGGUGAUGUCCGUGCGGUGAUGUCCCUGGGGUGGCGCCACUGUGCCCGGCGCUUGCCCUGGUCGCCGCGGUGGUGCUUCGGCGGCUUCCAGACCCUCUCCUCGAUGUGGUGAUGGUCACACCACAGCCGUGGUGUGGCUGAGCCUCUGCUAGGGUUACAACCUUCCUCUGGUUGAAGGCGCUAAGGUGUUGGAGACGUGCGUGUACUUGUUGAGUGUUUUAUCUGUAGAGUGCUAUACUGUGAUUGGUGUAAUAUUAUAUGGUUAUAUUGUGAUUGGUGGAAUGUAAUAAACUUGAUUGGUACAUCGGUGAUUUGGCUGUUAUUUGAAUAUAUUUAAAAUGUGUUCUCUGAUUGGUA